GGGCCUCUGGCGCAACGGUAGCGCGUUGUAAGUUCCCACUUAAUCAAGCUAAGUCUUGAGAAUUUAUUCUAACAUCAUCACAGCGACUCCAGAUCGAAAGGUUAUCCGUUCAAAUCGGGUGGGGCUCA